rnacentral:rRNA from 1 species
GAUGAACGCUGGCGGCGUGCCUAAUACAUGCAAGUCGAGCGAACGGACGAGGAGCUUGCUUCUCUGAUGUUAGCGGCGGACGGGUGAGUAACACGUGGAUAACCUACCUAUAAGACUGGGAUAACUUCGGGAAACCGGAGCUAAUACCGGAUAAUAUUUUGAACCGCAUGGUUCAAUAGUGAAAGACGGUUUUGCUGUCACUUAUAGAUGGAUCCGCGCUGCAUUAGCUAGUUGGUAAGGUAACGGCUUACCAAGGCAACGAUGCGUAGCCGACCUGAGAGGGUGAUCGGCCACACUGGAACUGAGACACGGUCCAGACUCCUACGGGAGGCAGCAGUAGGGAAUCUUCCGCAAUGGGCGAAAGCUUGACGGAGCAACGCCGCGUGAGUGAUGAAGGUCUUCGGAUCGUAAAACUCUGUUAUUAGGGAAGAACAAAUGUGUAAGUAACUAUGCACAUCUUGACGGUACCUAAUCAGAAAGCCACGGCUAACUACGUG